rnacentral:rRNA from 1 species
AUAAUAUAAACGGCGUAAAACACGACUAAAUACAAGUCCAACCAUUAAGACUGAAAUAAAGCUAGGCCGUAAAAAGCCAUAAGCCCCAAUAAAGCUCCUAAUGACAAACAACUUCCACUCGUGAAAGCUAGGACACAAACUAAGAUUAGAUACCUUACUAUGCCUAGCCAUAACAAAACAAUCAAAUUACCAAUUGUUCGCCAAAUAACUACGAGUAAAGACUUAAAAUUUAAAAGACUUGACGGUACCUCAUAACAACCUAGAGGAGCCUGUCAAGUAACCGAUACUCCACGAUUAACCCAACCUUCCCUAGCCUAACAGUCUAUAUACCGCCGUCGCCAGCCUACCUUGUGAAAGAAACAAAGUGAGCUAAAUAGCUACCACACUAACACGACAGGUCGAGGUGUAACUUAUGAGAAGGACAAUGAUGGGCUACAUUUUCUAAAACAGAAAAUACGAAUUAAACUAUGAAAAAGAAACUGAAGGCGGAUUUAGCAGUAAACUACGAACAAAAUACCUAGUCGAAACUAAUGCAAUGAGGUGCGUACACACCGCCCGUCAUCCCUGUCAUCUAAAUAACAAAAUCCAUAAA